rnacentral:SRP_RNA from 1 species
GCCCGGGUCCUGCGCAAUGGGAUGCUGUGAACCUCGUCAGGUCCGGAAGGAAGCAGCGAUAAGCGGAUUUUCCUGUGUGCCGCAGAUAAGCCUGGGUUCA